rnacentral:lncRNA from 1 species
ACCGAUUAGGACAUACACUCGAGCUACUGUAGGAGGAUCCUCUACUAGGACUAGGAGAUCAGGCUUUCCCAUUGCCAGGCCUAAUUCCUCCACCACUUUCGAUAAAGUAUCUAAUGAGGAUCGGGCCUAGAUUCUCUUCUAGGAUUAGUAGUGAUUAUGUUGUUUUUGUUUCAUCAUAUGUCAUAGGACUUAGUCUAUGUACACCUUAGUAGUUGGAUUUGUACUUCAUCUUGCUUGUAC